CCCUGGGUAGCGCAGACAGUUAAGCAUUCAGCUACUGACUGAAAGACUGGUGGUUCUAAUCCACCCAGAGGCA
rnacentral:tRNA from 1 species